rnacentral:misc_RNA from 1 species
UCUCCGUUGGUGAACCAGCGGAGGGAUCAUUACCGAGUUUACAACUCCCAAACCCAAUGUGAACCAUACCAAACUGUUGCCUCGGCGGGGUCACGCCCCGGGUGCGUCGCAGCCCCGGAACCAGGCGCCCGCCGGAGGGACCAACCAAACUCUUUCUGUAGUCCCCUCGCGGACGUUAUUUUUACAGCUCUGAGCAAAAAUUCAAAAUGAAUCAAAACUUUCAACAACGGAUCUCUUGGUUCUGGCAUCGUGAAGAACGCAGC